UUAGCGGCGGACGGGUGAGUAACACGUGGGUAACCUACCUAUAAGACUGGAAUAACUCCGGGAAACCGGGGCUAAUGCCGGAUAAUAUGCGGAACCGCAUGGUUCUGCAAUGAAAGACGGUCUUGCUGUCACUUAUAGAUGGACCCGCGCCGUAUUAGCUAGUUGGUAAGGUAACGGCUUACCAAGGCAACGAUACGUAGCCGACCUGAGAGGGUGAUCGGCCACACUGGAACUGAGACACGGUCCAGACUCCUACGGGAGGCAGCAGUAGGGAAUCUUCCGCAAUGGGCGAAAGCCUGACGGAGCAACGCCGCGUGAGUGAUGAAGGUCUUCGGAUCGUAAAACUCUGUUAUUAGGGAAGAACAAGUGCGUAGGUAACUAUGCGCACCUUGACGGUACCUAAUCAGAAAGCCACGGCUAACUACGUGCCAGCAGCCGCGGUAAUACGUAGGUGGCAAGCGUUAUCCGGAAUUAUUGGGCGUAAAGCGCGCGUAGGCGGUUUUUUAAGUCUGAUGUGAAAGCCCACGGCUCAACCGUGGAGGGUCAUUGGAAACUGGAAAACUUGAGUGCAGAAGAGGAAAGUGGAAUUCCAUGUGUAGCGGUGAAAUGCGCAGAGAUAUGGAGGAACACCAGUGGCGAAGGCGACUUUCUGGUCUGCAACUGACGCUGAUGUGCGAAAGCGUGGGGAUCAAACAGGAUUAGAUACCCUGGUAGUCCACGCCGUAAACGAUGAGUGCUAAGUGUUAGGGGGGUUUCCGCCCCCUUAGUGCUGCAGCUAACGCAUUAAGCACUCCGCCUGGGGAGUACGGCCGCAAGGCUGAAACUCAAAGGAAUUGACGGGGGACCCGCACAAGCGGUGGAGCAUGGUGGUUUAAUUCGAAGCAACGCGAAGAACCUUACCAAAUCUUGACAUCCUUUUGACCGCUCUAGAGAUAAGAGUCUUCCCCUUCGGGGG
rnacentral:rRNA from 1 species